UCCGUUCAAUAUCGCGUAUUAGGCCUAUUUGGUACGGGUUGCACAAACUUUAGCAUUAGUGUAGGAUGGGUUGCGAAAGUGAUUUGUAAAUAAUCUCCAUUGUAGAUUGAUUGCAUUACCCCAGUAUUCUACCAAGCUGCAUACCAGAUGCAUAUAAAAUGCCAACCUAGACAACUGAUGUGAGAGCUAAGAUGUUCACAAAAACCAUCCACUGUUUUGGCAAAUCAAAACACAACUGUCUAGAUUGUAUAUUGUAUUAUAACUUGUACAUUACUGUGACAAAACUACUGUACAUGAUUUCAUUUUAUGUCCAUAAAUAAAACUAUUAUGCAGUUGAA